CACAAGCAGCGGAGCGUGUGGUUUAAUUCGAUGCUACACGAAGAACCUUACCGGGUUUGACAUGCAAGUGGUAGUGAUCCGAAAGGUGAACGACCCGCAAGGGAGCUUGCACAGGUGUUGCAUGGCUGUCGUCAGCUUGUGUCGUGAGAUGUUCGGUUAAGUCCGCUAACGAGCGCAACCCUCGCUGUAUGUUACAUGUGCAUACAGGACCGCCGGUAUCAAGCCGGAGGAAGGUGGGGAUGACGUCAAGUCCGCAUGGCCUUUAUGUCCGGGGCUACACACACGCUACAAUGGUCGGUACAAUGGGUUGCUAAGCCGCGAGGUGGAGCCAAUCCCCCAAAGCCGGCCUCAGUUCAGAUUGCAGGCUGCAACUCGCCUGCAUGAAGCUGGAGUUGCUAGUAAACGCGCGUCAGCUAUAGUGCGUUGAAUACGUUCUCGGGCCUU
rnacentral:rRNA from 1 species